AGUGAACGCUGGCGGUAGGCCUAACACAUGCAAGUCGAACGGCAGCACAGUAAGAGCUUGCUCUUACGGGUGGCGAGUGGCGGACGGGUGAGGAAUACAUCGGAAUCUACUUUUUCGUGGGGGAUAACGUAGGGAAACUUACGCUAAUACCGCAUACGACCUACGGGUGAAAGCAGGGGAUCUUCGGACCUUGCGCGAUUGAAUGAGCCGAUGUCGGAUUAGCUAGUUGGCGGGGUAAAGGCGCACCAAGGCGACGAUCCGUAGCUGGUCUGAGAGGAUGAUCACCCACACUGGAACUGAGACACGGUCCAGACUCCUACGGGAGGCAGCAGUGGGGAAUAUUGGACAAGGGGGGCAAGCCUGAUCCAGCCAUACCGCGUGGGUGAAGAAGGCCUUCGGGUUGGUAAGCCCUUUUGUUGGGAAAGAAAAGCAGCAGGUUAAUACCCCGCUGUUCUGACGGUACCCAAAGAAUAAGCACCGGCUAACUUCGUG
rnacentral:rRNA from 1 species